AGGUCAUUUCAUAGUGGGCUCCUGUGGCUGUGAAGCCAAGAUCUCUGAAUGCUAUGAACAAAGAUUGAAGUUCUCUGUAGGACUAAACAGUGUAUUUUCCUGAGAAAAUACAAAG
rnacentral:snoRNA from 1 species